AACCGUGAGACAGGUGCUGCAUGGCUGUCGUCAGCUCGUGUUGUGAAAUGUUGGGUUAAGUCCCGCAACGAGCGCAACCCUUAUCCUUUGUUGCCAGCGAUUCGGUCGGGAACUCAAAGGAGACUGCCAGUGAUAAACUGGAGGAAGGUGGGGAUGACGUCAAGUCAUCAUGGCCCUUACGACCAGGGCUACACACGUGCUA
rnacentral:rRNA from 1 species